rnacentral:rRNA from 1 species
UCCGUAGGUGAACCUGCGGAAGGAUCAUUAGCGCGCAGGCCGGAGCUGGCCCCCCACGAUAGGGCCAAACGUCCGUCAGGGGUGAGCAGAUGUGCGCCGGCCGUACCGCCCCAUUCUUGUCUACAUUACUCGGUUGCCUCGGCGGGCCGCGCUCUCCCAGGAGAGCCGUUCGGCGAGCCUCUCUUUAGUGGCUAAACGCUGGACCGCGCCCGCCGGAGGACAGACGCAAAAAAAUUCUUUCAGAAGAGCUGUCAGUCUGAGCGUUAGCAAGCAAAAAUCAGUUAAAACUUUCAACAACGGAUCUCUUGGUUCCGGCAUCGAUGAAGAACGCAGCGAAAUGCGAUAAGUAAUGUGAAUUGCAGAAUUCCGUGAAUCAUCGAAUCUUUGAACGCACAUUGCGCCCCCUGGCAUUCCGGGGGGGCAUGCCUGUUCGAGCGUCAUUUCAGCCCCUCAAGCCCGGCUUGUGUGAUGGACGACCGUCCGGCGCCCCCGUCUUUGGGGGUGCGGGACGCGCCCGAAAAGCAGUGGCCAGGCCGCGAUUCCGGCUUCCUAGGCGAAUGGGCAACAAACCAGCGCCUCCAGGACCGGCCGCCCUGGCCUCAAAAUCUGUUUUAUACUUAUCAGGUUGACCUCGGAUCAGGUAGGGAUACCCGCUGAACUUAAGCAUAUCAAUAAGCGGAGGA